rnacentral:rRNA from 1 species
AUACGUAGGGUGCAAGCGUUAAUCGGAAUUACUGGGCGUAAAGCGUGCGCAGGCGGUUUUGUAAGACAGAGGUGAAAUCCCCGGGCUCAACCUGGGAACUGCCUUUGUGACUGCAAGGCUAGAGUACGGCAGAGGGGGAUGGAAUUCCGCGUGUAGCAGUGAAAUGCGUAGAUAUGCGGAGGAACACCGAUGGCGAAGGCAAUCCACUGGGCCAGUACUGACGCUCAUGCACGACAGCGUGGGGAGCAAACAUGAUUAGAUACCCUGUUACUCCACUCCCUAAGCGAUGUCAACUGGUUGUUGGGUCUUCAUUGACUCAGUAACGAAGCUAACGCGUGAAGUUGACCGCCUGGGGAGUACGGCCGCAAGGUUGAAACUCAAAGGAAUUGGCGGGG